CGUCUGCUUUCUCACAGUUUCGAAAAAGCCAAAAAAGAGACCACAUGUUUCAGAUAGUUUUGAUCAUAUUAACAGUUAGGUACCAGAGUUAAAACCUGUUUUGCUAAAUGUUGGUGCCCGACUACAUAGUGACUAGCAUUUUAUCAUGCUCGUCGUGCAGAUUUCAGGCCUGUGCCAGCCAUCGUAACCACAAGAUGUGCAAGUUUUGAUUUUUAUCACCACCAACAAUCUCAUCAGCAUCAUCAAUUGGACAAACAGCUCCUGGUUUAAUUGGAAAAAAAAACUCUGUCCUCGUGUUGUACACCCACGUGAAGGUGUGUGUUCACGAUAUGCCCCCCUUUCCCUAUAUCCUGCCUGGGCUCAACUUGACUGGGGAUGGAGCACUUUUGGAUGCCUGGCUGUGGAUUUCCCAGGCUUAAAGACUUUUGAAACGGAUUCCCGAUCUUUUUUUUUUUUCUUUCUCUGCCCAAGAAAUUCAAUCCAUCUUCAUUAUGUGUUGUGUAUAGCCACUAUAUACGGCGUGCAUGUAUAAUCUUAGGAAAGCAUAUAUAUUUUGUCGUGUUCCGUCAACAACAAGCCAAUUGAAUUCGAUAUUCUCCGUCAUAUUAUCGACUCACCAUGAGUGUGUGUUAUUCCCAACUCUCUACAGCUAUAGCUGUGUGUAACAUUGAUACUAUAGUAUAGGACUCUGCCGGG